CUGAAACCGUGUACGUACAAGCAGUGGGAGCACGCUUAGGCGUGUGACUGCGUACCUUUUGUAUAAUGGGUCAGCGACUUAUAUUCUGUAGCAAGGUUAACCGAAUAGGGGAGCCGAAGGGAAACCGAGUCUUAACUGGGCGUUAAGUUGCAGGGUAUAGACCCGAAACCCGGUGAUCUAGCCAUGGGCAGGUUGAAGGUUGGGUAACACUAACUGGAGGACCGAACCGACUAAUGUUGAAAAAUUAGCGGAUGACUUGUGGCUGGGGGUGAAAGGCCAAUCAAACCGGGAGAUAGCUGGUUCUCCCCGAAAGCUAUUUAGGUAGCGCCUCGUGAAUUCAUCUCCGGGGGUAGAGCACUGUUUCGGCAAGGGGGUCAUCCCGACUUACCAACCCGAUGCAAACUGCGAAUACCGGAGAAUGUUAUCACGGGAGACACACGGCGGGUGCUAACGUCCGUCGUGAAGAGGGAAACAACCCAGACCGCCAGCUAAGGUCCCAAAGUCAUGGUUAAGUGGGAAACGAUGUGGGAAGGCCCAGACAGCCAGGAUGUUGGCUUAGAAGCAGCCAUCAUUUAAAGAAAGCGUAAUAGCUCACUGGUCGAGUCGGCCUGCGCGGAAGAUGUAACGGGGCUAAACCAUGCACCGAAGCUGCGGCAGCGACGCUUAUGCGUUGUUGGGUAGGGGAGCGUUCUGUAAGCCUGCGAAGGUGUGCUGUGAGGCAUGCUGGAGGUAUCAGAAGUGCGAAUGCUGACAUAAGUAACGAUAAAGCGGGUGAAAAGCCCGCUCGCCGGAAGACCAAGGGUUCCUGUCCAACGUUAAUCGGGGCAGGGUGAGUCGACCCCUAAGGCGAGGCCGAAAGGCGUAGUCGAUGGGAAACAGGUUAAUAUUCCUGUACUUGGUGUUACUGCGAAGGGGGGACGGAGAAGGCUAUGUUGGCCGGGCGACGGUUGUCCCGGUUUAAGCGUGUAGGCUGGUUUUCCAGGCAAAUCCGGAAAAUCAAGGCUGAGGCGUGAUGACGAGGCACUACGGUGCUGAAGCAACAAAUGCCAUGCUUCCAGGAAAAGCCUCUAAGCAUCAGGUAACAUCAAAUCGUACCCCAAACCGACACAGGUGGUCAGGUAGAGAAUACCAAGGCGCUUGAGAGAACUCGGGUGAAGGAACUAGGCAAAAUGGUGCCGUAACUUCGGGAGAAGGCACGCUGAUAUGUAGGUGAAGCGACUUGCUCGUGGAGCUGAAAUCAGUCGAAGAUACCAGCUGGCUGCAACUGUUUAUUAAAAACACAGCACUGUGCAAACACGAAAGUGGACGUAUACGGUGUGACGCCUGCCCGGUGCCGGAAGGUUAAUUGAUGGGGUCAGCGCAAGCGAAGCUCUUGAUCGAAGCCCCGGUAAACGGCGGCCGUAACUAUAACGGUCCUAAGGUAGCGAAAUUCCUUGUCGGGUAAGUUCCGACCUGCACGAAUGGCGUAAUGAUGGCCAGGCUGUCUCCACCCGAGACUCAGUGAAAUUGAACUCGCUGUGAAGAUGCAGUGUACCCGCGGCAAGACGGAAAGACCCCGUGAACCUUUACUAUAGCUUGACACUGAACAUUGAGCCUUGAUGUGUAGGAUAGGUGGGAGGCUUUGAAGUGUGGACGCCAGUCUGCAUGGAGCCGACCUUGAAAUACCACCCUUUAAUGUUUGAUGUUCUAACGUUGACCCGUAAUCCGGGUUGCGGACAGUGUCUGGUGGGUAGUUUGACUGGGGCGGUCUCCUCCUAAAGAGUAACGGAGGAGCACGAAGGUUGGCUAAUCCUGGUCGGACAUCAGGAGGUUAGUGCAAUGGCAUAAGCCAGCUUGACUGCGAGCGUGACGGCGCGAGCAGGUGCGAAAGCAGGUCAUAGUGAUCCGGUGGUUCUGAAUGGAAGGGCCAUCGCUCAACGGAUAAAAGGUACUCCGGGGAUAACAGGCUGAUACCGCCCAAGAGUUCAUAUCGACGGCGGUGUUUGGCACCUCGAUGUCGGCUCAUCACAUCCUGGGGCUGAAGUAGGUCCCAAGGGUAUGGCUGUUCGCCAUUUAAAGUGGUACGCGAGCUGGGUUUAGAACGUCGUGAGACAGUUCGGUCCCUAUCUGCCGUGGGCGCUGGAGAACUGAGGGGGGCUGCUCCUAGUACGAGAGGACCGGAGUGGACGCAUCACUGGUGUUCGGGUUGUCAUGCCAAUGGCACUGCCCGGUAGCUAAAUGCGGAAGAGAUAAGUGCUGAAAGCAUCUAAGCACGAAACUUGC
rnacentral:rRNA from 1 species